CUGGCGGCGCGCUUACACAUGCAAGUUCGCACGAGAAAGGGAGCAAUCCCAAGUUAAAGUGGCGCACGGGUGAGUAACACGUGGAUCAUCCACCUUCUUGUGGGGAAUAACCUGGGGAAACCCGAGCUAAUACCGCAUAAGCCCGAGAGGGGAAAGCAGCAAUGCGCAGGAAGAGGAGUCCGCGGUCGAUUAGCUAGUUGGUAGGGUAAAGGCCUACCAAGGCUAUGAUCGAUAGCCGGCCUGAGAGGGCACACGGCCACACUGGCACUGAAACACGGGCCAGACUCCUACGGGAGGCAGCAGUGGGGAAUCUUGCACAAUGGGGGAAACCCUGAUGCAGCGACGCCGCGUGGGUGAUGAAGUCCUUCGGGAUGUAAAGCCCUUUCGACGGGAACGAUAAUGACGGUACCCGGAGAAGAAGCUGCGGCUAACUACGUGCCAGCAGCCGCGGUAAUACGUAGGCAGCAAGCGUUGUUCGGAGUUACUGGGCGUAAAGAGUAUGUAGGCGGUUGGGUAAGUUUGGUGUGAAAUCUCCCGGCUUAACUGGGAGGGUGCGCUAAAGACUGCCUGGCUUGAGUGUGGGAGAGGAAAGCGGAAUUCCUGGUGUAGCGGUGAAAUGCGUAGAUAUCAGGAGGAACACCUGCGGUGUAGACGGCUUUCUGGACCAUAACUGACGCUGAGAUACGAAAGCGUGGGUAGCAAACAGGAUUAGAUACCCUGGUAGUCCACGCCCUAAACGAUGCAUACUUGGUGUUGGCCAUUCACUUGGUCAGUGCCGGAGCUA
rnacentral:rRNA from 1 species